ACGCUCGACACCUACGGGGGCAGCAGUGGGGGAUAUUGCACAAUGGGGGAAACCCUGAUGCAGCGACGCCGCGUGAAGGAAGAAGGCCUUGGUUGUAACUUCUGUCGUACGGGACGAUAAUGACGGUACCGUACAAGAAAGCCACGGCUAACUACGUGCCAGCAGCCGCGGUAAUCUGAGCGGGCUGGCAAGGC
rnacentral:rRNA from 1 species